GGCUCAUCCUACUUGAGCUGAUGGAGUUAUUUUUAAGGUUUCUUCUUAUCCUGAUCUCCUGAUAAUCACAAAACCCCUACAUUUUAUGGAAUAUGGGCUGUUUAUGGGGGUUGUGAGGUAGGUCACCACGUAGACAGGCCUCGGCCCCUGUGACAUCAUGGGAUAGCAUGGAACUUUGAAUCAGGUUUUAGAUGCCAUUCCUUACCACCUUGAUACCAGGAGCAUCUUGAGGUCAGCACAUUCCCCUAAAGGGUCUGUGUAGAAUGAGAGCAGCUGGAAACCACACAGAACAGGAUGCAUAAGAAAUAGGAAGUAGAAGCAUGGAAGGAGGGGAUGAUCCCCUGAAAACGAGAGACGUGUACUGGCCACAGCAAGCUUAGGAUGACGUCCAGAGUGAACGCACGGGGCUAGGAGUAAACACUGGACUUGGUGAAUAAGGGAGGACAUGUGCAGGUAAUUGUUUCCUGAACUAGAAAGUCUCUGAUCUGGCUUGUGAAUUCAGUCAAUCAAAAAGAGCACUUCGAUCUUAUAAAACCAACUGAAAGAACCACUUCUCCUCGUUUGUAUGAAGAGAAGUCAGUAAGGAGUGACUCUCAGAAGACAACUGGAGUGAGGAUACAUGGUGCCACCAUGCCCCCACAAAGCUGAAUAAAGUCUCCCCUGGUCCAGGAUCCCAGUCCUGCCUGAGACCCAGGACAUAAAUACGUUCUACGGUGGGAUCAGGGUCAUCAAGGUCUGCAUGGUCCCUGUUUCUCUUCUACCCUGAGCUCUUCCUUCUGACUCUCACAGCAACAGCACCUCCCAAGGUUCCAGCUUCCCUUCAAAGUCACUGUGGGAGUGUUUCUCUGACUCUACAGAAAGCACCAUCCCUGGAAUGCAGUACGCUGCAGCUGCUCCAAGGCAGCCAUUUGGGGCUGAGAAAGCAGCUCUCCACUGCUUCCUCCAAAGGCAGGAGCAGCCCAGUGGCAGGACUGCCCAUGAGUCUCCUCGUCAACAGACCCUGAGCCUCUGAUGUAAGAAGCCAGAUGUGAUGGAGAUAGGUAGGCUCUGCUUACUGCCUGUCACUCUGAGACUGGCCUUCUCUCAAGGGAGAGCUCGACGUCACCAUUGUUGGUGGUUUGCCAAGAGAGUGCCAUGGGCCGCCAGGACAAGAUGAAGCAAAGCAGGGGGAGAAGAGUGUGCAAUGUUAAGAACUCCUGGCUCCAAUUACUAGCUGCAUGACCUCAAGCAAAGUAUUCCUCAGCUAUAAAGUGGGGAUAACAUACGACAUACCUUGUAAGUUCUGUGUGUAUGAAGAUUAAAUGAGACAGUGGUUGUAAACUGAUAUUAAUCAUUUGUUUAACGUUAGAUUUUAGAGUUACUGUUGUAAGCUUUAAAUGUGCAGUACUUGGUAGAGAUUUGAUGAAUAUGUACUUUAAUUUUCUUUUUGUUUUCCCCUGUUUUUGUAUCACUCUUUAAUCAGUCUGAAAGGUUUCUGGCUUGAUGUAUGCCUACUUACAACUUACCAUAAAAGGAGCCUCAUGUAUACUUCCAACAGUCCCCCAACCCCUUAUGCCAAAAGCAAAUAAAAACAAUCCAGUUGAAAGCAAUGUGUGAGCUGAUAAGACUAUUUACAGCACUGUGUGAAGAGGAGUGAAAGCUUCUUGCUGUUUUUCCUUUAAGGCUUAUUUGGAGCAUGUAUAUCUUAAUAGAGUCAAACACACUACAUAGUAAACUUUUUUAUGCUUAAAAAAAUUAAUAGCGUGUCUAAAUUAUCCCAUUUUAUUUAAGAUAGAUUCAUUAUCAUUUUAAAUAUUGACUGAUAAUCCAUCAUAAUUCUCUUAUUGACAGUUGUUUUCCAUUUCAUUAAGCUAUAAAUA
rnacentral:lncRNA from 1 species